rnacentral:rRNA from 1 species
GAUGAACGCUGGCGGCGUGCUUAACACAUGCAAGUCGAGCGAGUGAGUUCUUCGGAACGAUCUAGCGGCGGACGGGUGAGUAACACGUGGGCAACCUGCCUCAUAGAGGGGAAUAGCCUCCCGAAAGGGAGAUUAAUACCGCAUAAAAUUAUCGAGUGGCAUCACACGGUAAUCAAAGGAGUAAUCCGCUAUGAGAUGGGCCCGCGGCGCAUUAGCUAGUUGGUGAGGUAACGGCUCACCAAGGCGACGAUGCGUAGCCGACCUGAGAGGGUGAUCGGCCACAUUGGGACUGAGACACGGCCCAGACUCCUACGGGAGGCAGCAGUGGGGAAUAUUGCACAAUGGGGGAAACCCUGAUGCGGCAACGCCGCGUGAGUGAUGAAGGUCUUCGGAUUGUAAAGCUCUGUCUUUGGGGACGAUAAUGACGGUACCCAAGGAGGAAGCCACGGCUAACUACGUGCCAGCAGCCGCCGUAA